CUUGCUUGCAUAGUAAAAAAGAAGAAAAUACCAGUCUUAGCAGUAAAAAAUGUUGAACCUGUAAAUAUUCUUGCAAGCAAAUGCUACCCAUUCAUCAUUGUCAUGAUCACUGAGGGGUAACACACCAAUUCUCUGAGAACAGUGUUUAUUCCUCUUCUUAAGUAAAACCUUAAGUUGUUAUCUGCUCUGUAAUCUGCAGAGCUUGCAUGUGUCUGAAAAAAGAAAUUGUACCUAAACCUAUUGAAAUGUGGAUUAUUUCUACAAGUAACUCAAACAUCCAAAUUUAACUGGCAGCCCUGUAUAAUGAUCCUAUGCUGUGUCAUUUCUGGUAUGAAUAAUACAGAGAAGGUAAUCAACUGCACCGAAUUCUUUCAGCUGCCUUGAUCAGCAGGCCCCUCACUGACAUAAAGGUCACAAAUCGUGACCUAUGUAAACAAAGCAGUUUUUGCUAAAACUGCCUUCAUAGAUAUUUACAGAACCCUGUGGAGAUGCCUCACUUACCCACUCCCACCUCCCAGUAGCCAGCAGGUGAAAUGCAGGUGCUAAUCGCAAGGGACACAGAUGUGUAAAUGGGGUAACAGAGUAUGUUUGGAUGUGAAAACUGUUCAUUUCUGUCGGCAGAAACCUGGAAACUGAGCAUCUUAACUACCUACACUGUGUGUGCUGGGGGGGUAGAGGGGUAUAAGGAGCUAUAUUCAUCAUUAUGCUUUGCAUGCAGCCUUGUUGAUGGAGUUCUUAUCUGUUUACAGAACAGAUAGAGCACGGCAUAUGGUGGCCCUGGCAAUCAAGCCAUAUAUUCUUGAAGUUUUCAAAGAGAUAUAGUUAUCCUUUCCAACGUAGAUGCACAGAUCUAGUACAGCCUGUAGGCAGUAUUUAGUCUCCGCUUUCCUUACCUGUUGUCUUGGGAUACUCGAGCCUUUCUU
rnacentral:lncRNA from 1 species